rnacentral:lncRNA from 1 species
CAAAUAUUACUUUUACUAUCUAAAAACGUAAUUUGUUUCAUACGUUUUUUUUUUUAAAUCAAUAUUUUUAUAAAUCACAUCAUUACUUUUCGAUUUGACUAAAAAACAAUUUUUUGUAUUUACCGUCUGUGGUUUAUAUUUAUAAUUAACCUCCAUACAGCUCUUCGUACAGCUUUUCAUACUACUCUUCAUAUAAUUCAAAUUUUUUUUUUUUGUUUAAUACAUAUUUUAAAUUAAAAAAAGUGUUAUUAUUAUUUUUAUUACUUUUUUCUAUUUUUCCAGUGUCACUAUUAUUACCAUUGUUAUUACCACUGUCAUUACCACUGUCAUUGUCAUUAUCAAUAUUCGUGUUAUUACAUGGUUUACUUUGUUUACCGCCUUUAGUUGUCUUUUUCUCAUACUUAUAAUAUACAACAUGUUUGUUCUUUGUGUUUUUGCUUUUUAUAUCAUUAUAAAACAAACAACUUUUAAUAGUUUUGUCGUUUUCUUGUGUACUAUACAUAAUAAGAUCACUUUUAUAUUUACUACUGGGAUAAGUUUUAGUUUUAUGACAAUGUAAAAAUUUAGAAGAAGAAAAAGAAAAAUCAUUUCUUACAAAGUACGAUUUUUCAAUGUUAGAAGAAGUAUUUUUUUUUGUAUUUUCUUUGUCGGUACUUAAUAAUAGGCUAGAUUGUAUAUUACUGUUUUCUACAGAAGGAUUAAGAUGAUUUGUAGACGAUAUAAAAAUUUCAGAAAUACCUUUUUUAGUCUUAGGCGUUUUAAUAAUUUCUUUAGGAGUAAACUUAUAACAGCUACUACUACUACUACUACUACUGUAGUUUUUAUCAUUAUUUGAUUGUAGAUUUGAUGAUUCUGUUUUGGAGAGCAAAUAUAAUUUAUUUCUUAUUAUUUUAUUAUUAUCAUUCUGAUCUAAUUUUACAUUUUUAUUUUUAUAUUUAUACAUACUUUUUGUAAAAUCUGUGGUAAGACUAUACGUAUUUUUAGGACUUUCUUUUUUUAGAUAUAUUUGCUUUUCACUUACAAUUAAUCCAUUUUUUAACAUCUCUGUUUUAGUUUCUGUCAUUUUAUCAAAAUUAAUGUUAACCUUUUUUUUUUUUUUUUUCAAUUUAACAGCAGAAUUAACAGCAUAAUUAACAGCAGAAUUAACUAUAUUUUUCUUUUUUUUACUAUUCAACAUUUUUUCAUUAUUAUUUUUUACGUUUAAGCAGGUUUUUUUAGUUUUGCAAUCUUUAUUUUUUCUUUUAGAGUCCAUUUUGUUCGAAAUUAUUUUAUCUUCCCUGUCCUUUGUUUCCUUACCUCUUUUUUCCUUACCUAUUUUUUCCUUACCUAUUUUUUCCUUACCCCUUUUUCCCUUAUCCUUUUUGUCAUUGUUCUGUUCAUCCAUGCAUGUCCUAACUUCAAUUUCUUUUUCAUUUUUACCAAAAUCAGA